rnacentral:rRNA from 1 species
UUUAGUGGCGGACGGGUGAGUAACACGUGAGCAACCUGCCUUUGAGAGGGGAAUAACGGCUGGAAACGGUCGCUAAUACCGCAUAAUGUACGGAUGGGACAUCCUGUCUGUACCAAAGAUUUAUCGCUCGAAGAUGGGCUCGCGUCCGAUUAGGUAGUUGGUGAGGUAACGGCCCACCAAGCCGACGAUCGGUAGCCGGACUGAGAGGUUGAACGGCCACAUUGGGACUGAGACACGGCCCAGACUCCUACGGGAGGCAGCAG